UACGAAGGGGGCUAGCGUUGCUCGGAAUCACUGGGCGUAAAGCGCACGUAGGCGGGUCGUUAAGUCGGGGGUGAAAUCCUGGAGCUCAACUCCAGAACUGCCUUCGAUACUGGCGACCUUGAGUCCGGGAGGAGGUGAGUGGAACUCCGAGUGUAGAGGUGAAAUUCGUAGAUAUUCGGAAGAACACCAGUGGCGAAGGCGGCUCACUGGCCCGGUACUGACGCUGAGGUGCGAAAGCGUGGGGGAGCAAACAGG
rnacentral:rRNA from 1 species